rnacentral:RNase_P_RNA from 1 species
GAAGCAGGCCGCCUUAUCGUUCCGACAUUAUUUCGGAGAGGAAAGUCCGGACACCGUAGAGCAGCAUAGUGGGUAACGCCCAUCGGUCGUGAGAUCAGGACAAGUGCAACAGAAAGAAUGUACAGGUUAAGCUGUAGUGAAACCAGGUAAACUCUAUGCGGUGCAAUGCCAUGUAUACCGGUAUCUAAGGAUCGCUCGUCCGUUGCCGGAGGGUAGGCAGCUAAAAAUUAGCGGUAACGCUAAUUUCAGAUAAAUGAUAAGGAGUCCGAUCAAUUAUCGGAUGACAGAAUCCGGCUUACAGGCCUGCUUUUUUA